CGGAGGGGCUAGCGUUGUUCGGAAUCACUGGGCGUAAAGGGCGCGUAGCGGCCUAGCAAGUCAGGCGUGAAAUCCCGGGGCUUAACCCCGGAACUGCGCUUGAAACUGCAAGGCUUGAGUCUCGGAGAGGAUGGUGGAAUUCCCAGUGUAGAGGUGAAAUUCGUAGAUAUUAGGAGGAACACCGAUGGCGAAGGCAGCCAUCUGGACGAGUACUGACGCUGAGGCGCGAAAGCGUGGGGAGCAAACAGGAUUAGAUACCCUGGUAGUCCACGCCGUAAACGAUGCAUGCUAGAUGUUGGGACUUUCAGUUCCAGUGUCGUAGUUAACGCGUGAAGCAUGCCGCCUGGGAAGUACGGCCGCAAGGUUG
rnacentral:rRNA from 1 species